GGAUUGUGGCUCGGCGGUAGAGCGCUCGCCUAGCAUGUGAGAUGCCCUGGGUUCCAUCCUCAGCACCA
rnacentral:tRNA from 1 species